CCAAUGUAUUGCAAAGCCAAUCCUUUUUUUUUUUUUUUUUUUUCUAAAAGCUCUAAUCCCUUUUGCUUUGGAUGCCUUUUUUUUCAAUUCCAAUUCUUAUUAGCAAACGUCUACUUAGUUUAUGUAACUAUGAAUCUCCCAAGUUUACACGAUUCUGCUUUCCCUUUAAUCUUAAAAUUUUAACAAAUUCAAAACUUUUGGAUCAUCAAAUUCUCGAAUCUCAAUCAUUCAAUAGCAUAUCAAAAUUCAGAAUGCAAAAUAAUGAAAGGUUAAAUAUUUACUACACGAUUUUGAUCCAAACACAAUCCAAGAUCCAAACUUUAAACAAAAUUGAAACCCUAACAAUAUCAACCCUGAGAUAAUUUAUAGAGCAUAUCGAAAACAAAGCAUUUGUAUCACUGAAUUACCGAUUAAGCUCCGAAUCCGAACCCGAUCCGAACUAGGACCCAGACCUCAAGUUCCGCCACUAGAUCGGUGGAGGUACAGGUUGCCGAACACAUGAAGAGCCGUGAUGAAGCCAAUGAAGCAGAGGCUCAUGACGACAACAGUCGGGGGUACUAGUAGGGAGAUUUAGAGUGAUACUAGCAGUUGAUGAAGAUCAUUAAGUAAAAACUCAGAGGGCUAAGAAGCUCACCAUAAUUGCAGUUUUCUCAGAGAAAAAAAUGAAAAUCAGAAGUGAGAGAGAGGGAGAGAGAGAGAGAGAGAGAGAGAGAGAGAGAGAAAGGAAUCUUCCCAGAACAAGUACGAAAGGGAAGAAAGAACAAGGGGUAAAUGAGAGGAAAAUGGUGAAUAGGAAAAUUUUAGAUGGCUAAGAAUGGGUGGGGAGUUAGUCGGCACUCGUAGGUGGGACUCUGCCCAGAGAAUAAAGAGGAAGCCACAAGAAAUAGGAAUUCAGAAGGAUUUCACUUAAAUUUUGACAGGGCGGGAAUAUUGUGUGUAAUUCUACCACACUUAUUGAUCGUGGUAGAUAUAAAAAAAUCCAGUGUGGUUACGAACAAUAUACCACGUUGAAGGCCCGUGGGUUUAAUAUUUUUACAACGUGCUGACUAAGUCUGUGGUAUUAGAUUAUUUUAUCAUAACGGGUCAUUAUUUAUUCUUUAUAAAUAUUAUUAUCCACAACGUGCUUGCUAAGCCCGUGAUGAAUAUUCACUUUUUAUCACGCGCACAUAAAGCUCAUGGUAGAAUUGUCAUUCAAUUGUUAAAUGUUUUGUCUCUAAACUUAUUCAUCAAAUAUAUUAAAUAAUAUGACUUCUUGUGGUUU
rnacentral:lncRNA from 1 species